rnacentral:rRNA from 1 species
UACGAAGGGGGCUAGCGUUGCUCGGAAUCACUGGGCGUAAAGCGCACGUAGGCGGCUUCUUAAGUCAGGGGUGAAAUCCUGGAGCUCAACUCCAGAACUGCCCUUGAUACUGAGGAGCUUGAGUCCGGGAGAGGUGAGUGGAACUGCGAGUGUAGAGGUGAAAUUCGUAGAUAUUCGCAAGAACACCAGUGGCGAAGGCGAGUCUCUGGACGAUUCCUGACACUGAGGCACGAAAGCCAGGGGAGCAAACGGG